GAACGCUGGCGGCGUGCCUAACACAUGCAAUUCGAGCGGCAGCGAGGGGUGCUUGCACCCUGUCGGCGAGCGGCGGACGGCUGAGUAACGCGUGGGAACGUGCCCCAAAGUGAGGAAUAACUGCCCGAAAGGGUAGCUAAUACCGCAUAUUAUCUUCGGAUCAAAGGAUUUAUCCGCUUUGGGAGCGGCUCGCGUCGGAUUAGGUAGUUGGUGAGGUAAUGGCUCACCAAGCCGACGAUCCGUAGCUGGUCUGAGAGGAUGACCAGCCAGACUGGAACUGAGACACGGUCCAGACUCCUACGGGAGGCAGCAGUGAGGAAUCUUCCACAAUGGGCGAAAGCCUGAUGGAGCAACGCCGCGUGCAGGACGAAGGCCUUCGGGUUGUAAACUGCUUUUAUAAGUGAGGAAUAUGACGGUAACUUAUGAAUAAGGAUCGGCUAACUACGUG
rnacentral:rRNA from 1 species